rnacentral:tRNA from 1 species
AGUGAGAUAGGAUAAAUAGUCUAUUUGGUUCAUACCCUGAAGGUGCUGUAUAGCUCUCACUG